GAUGAACGCUAGCUACAGGCUUAACACAUGCAAGUCGAGGGGUAACGAGAGGAAAGCUUGCUUUCCUUGUCGACGACCGGCGCACGGGUGAGUAACGCGUAUCCAACCUGCCCCCAACUAAGGAAUAACCUUGCGAAAGUAAGACUAAUACCUUAUAAUUUCCUCAGAUGCCAUCUGACGAGGAAUAAAGAUUUAUCGGUUGUGGAUGGGGAUGCGUCUGAUUAGCUUGUUGGCGGGGUAACGGCCCACCAAGGCAACGAUCAGUAGGGGUUCUGGGAGGAAGGUCCACCACAUUGGGACUGAGACACGGUCCAAACUCCUACGGGAGGCAGCAGUGAGGAAUAUUGGUCAAUGGGCGAAAGCCUGAACCAGCCAAGUAGCGUGCAGGAUGACGGCCCUAUGGGUUGUAAACUGCUUUUAUACAGGAAUAAAGUUAGCCACGUGUGGUUAUUUGUAGGUACUGUAUGAAUAAGGACCGGCUAAUUCCGUGCCAGCCGCCGCGGUAA
rnacentral:rRNA from 1 species